GAAAUGCGAUAAGUAAUGUGAAUUGCAGAAUUCCGUGAAUCAUCGAAUCUUUGAACGCACAUUGCGCCCUCUGGUAUUCCGGGGGGCAUGCCUGUCCGAGCGUCAUUGCGAACCCCUCAAGCACGGCUUGUGUGAUGGGCCCUCCCGCGUCUUGGUCGUCAAGACGGGCCCGAAAAGCAGUGGCGGCUUCGCGGUUAUCCGAUCAGCCAGAGCGUAUGGGGACUUUCUCUCUGUCACACGCCCGCGGCGCGGACCGACGCCUGUCGACCUUUAUUCAUCUUUUUCUCGGUUGACCUCGGAUCAGGUAGGGCUCCCCGCUGAACUUAAGC
rnacentral:misc_RNA from 1 species